rnacentral:misc_RNA from 1 species
CCAGAUCUCUGAUAAGCACACGUUGCCGUGUUAUCGCGAUAAACGCCGGAGUUCAAGUACGGAUCCGGCUGGUCGUACGAUCAUAACCUCGAACAACGCCAUCGUCUACACGCGUGUGCUUCCCUCGCGAGUAGGUACAUACAUAUCUGAAUGAACCAGAGGAAACGAAAGGAACAGAGAGAAAAGAAGAAAAUUGAAGGACAAAAGCGGAAUUGUGGAACUGCUAGCUCGAAUAUCUCUGUUAUUUCGUCCGUUAACUAAGUUUAACUUAUGCGUAUAAUUGGAUUAAUAUGACUCGAGAAACUGUACGAGUUACGAAUUACAAGUUACAUUUCUUUAUUGAUUAGUAACGAUAAAAGGUUUAGUAACAAAACAAAUGAAAUUCUACGAGGAAAUUUUAUUUCGACGACUUAAAGUAUUUUAUGCAAAUUAUAAUUAAUUAAUUUCUCCAUUUAG